rnacentral:rRNA from 1 species
UGAGUAACCUGCCCUUAACUCUGGGAUAAGCCUGGGAAACUGGGUCUAAUACCGGAUAUGACUCCUCAUCGCAUGGUGGGGGGUGGAAAGCUUUUUUGUGGUUUUGGAUGGACUCGCGGCCUAUCAGCUUGUUGGUGAGGUAAUGGCUCACCAAGGCGACGACGGGUAGCCGGCCUGAGAGGAUGACCGGCCACACUGGGACUGAGACACGGCCCAGACCUCCGUACGGGGAGCAG